CCUAGGCUGCGAAGUCCCUCGGCUUUGUGAUAUAGUGAGAGAUUCCAGUCUUGGAACCCAGAAACAAAAUCCAAAUGAUGUGGCAGUUAGAAUGUAGGUUUAUUGACUAGGAUGCUGAUGGGGUAUUCAUGGGUUUCUAAGGGAUAGAAGCCCUAGAAUGAUGACACCCAGUGCUCCUUUGAUCUGGUAGUUACACACCUUACUGGUCAUAGGUCCACCAACCCAGCAGAAAAGAAAGUACCAAUAAGCUGUUUCCACUCGCUUCUGCCUUCGUCUUCUUGUAAUGUUUCCUACCACCCUGUUUGGAAGCUUGGACAAAACUACUGAAUGAUAAAAGACGCCUUGGAGAGAGAGGCCCAGCUAAUAUCCAGCAUUAAGUCCCUAGAUAUGUGAAGGAGGCCAUCUUAAAACCUCCAACCCCAGACCAACUGCGAGAUAACUGAUGCCUCAUGGGAAAGCCCAGGGAGAUUGCAACAGAUAAAAUCACAACCAAAAUACAGAAGACAGUAAGAUGAGUGAAGUCAAAUCAUGACUUCAUGUUCCAUAUUGGAGAAGUUAUUCUGGUGACUUUUGCACAGACGGCUUAAGCAUUGAUCUCCAGGCAAAGAAUAAAGUAGGAGCAGAAGAUCUGAGUCCAAUGGGAGUAAAACAUAAGGAAUUUUGGGCAGUGCUGAAGAAAGUAGCUUUGAUAUCUUAAGAUUUCCUGGGCCACAGACCAGAGGCAAAUGUUAGACCACCACAGUAACAAAAGUGUGGUGUAGUGGAAAUAACCUAGAUUUCCUGGAAGCCAAGGGUCAAAUAUAUUAAUUCUAAAUUUGCUAGCAACCUGUUCCUUAGCUUCAGCAAAGUUGUUUAUCCUCUCUGUACCUUGAUCUCCUUAACUCCAAAAGAAGAGGAUUUUACAGUCAGUAGCAAAUUUUCGUUCAAGUCCUGGCAAAACAACCUUCUACAAGGCUUGCUUCAUUGAUAGCAGUAACCACCAUUUUGGGCACAAGUAGCUCCAGUGCCCAUUCUUGUACAUCUUUUUGUAAUUCUGAAUAGUGUCAUGGGCUCCUUCUACCCAUCUCAAGAAGAGUCAACUAGUGGAGAAACCUCUAGGAUGAUCCGAUUGAGAUUUUUUGCCAACUUUAUUAUUUCCCAGUAAUUCUAAUUUAAACUAAACCUUGUUAGUAAUUUGAGAUUAAGGUUAGGAAAGAGAGGAGUACAAAUCUUUAUCUGAGUGACUCCAAAUAAUGAUCUACUUUAAAAAAUACUUCGGAGUUGUCAGCCUUGCUUGAAUUGGUGAAGCGAAUGUCCCUCCUUCCUGAGAGAAAGACAAAAUAGACUCAAUAUUAGUGUGUAAAUCAAAUCAAGGUGGGACAAAGAAGUUUCUAAAUGAGUUUGACUAUCAAUAAUGAACAUCAAUAACCAAUAAGGACUCUUCACAAUAUAGGCAUCACUUAAGAUAUCUUCCUGUAAAUCACUAACUGUCUGCAUACUCUCCUCAUUGCCACCUUCAUUUCUUGAUUCCUGAAUGUGUAAAUGAGAGGAUUCAGGAAAGGAGUGAGGACUGCAUAAAAGAUGGCCAGAAACUUAUCCAGAUGUACAGAGGGAGAUGGCCAGGUAUAGACAAGUAUCAAAGGACCAAAGAACAGCACUACCACAGUGAUGUGAGCUGACAGUGUGGACAGAGCCUUGGAAGAACCAGCUGAAUAGCGUUUCUGAACAGUGAGAAUGAUAAUGAUGUAGGAAAUUAUCAGUAUGAAGAAGGAGCCAACAGAGAUGAACCCACUGUUGGCUGUGACCAUGAACUCCAGUCGGGCAGUGUCUAUGCAAGCAAGUUUGAUGAAUUGAGGAAGAUCACAGAAAAAGCUGUCCAACACAUUAGGACCACAGAAGGUUGUGGGUCCUUCCAGUUGUGUCAUGCAGGACGCCGCCUCAGCACAGCCCGAUGAGCGGUGCCACUUCUGAGCCCAGAAUCUGAACCGGCAAAACCAUGGGCCAGCGAAGCAGAUUGCGCCAACUUAACCACUCAG
rnacentral:lncRNA from 1 species